rnacentral:lncRNA from 1 species
UUUUUCAAUCGCUCAGUUAUUUUUUCUUUGAUAUAUUUUUAUUUUCAAUCGAGUGCUCUUUCUUCAGCGAGUGCUUCUUUCGAACCAUCGAGUACAUUUUAUUUUCUCUUUUUUUUUUUCGAUGAUCGUUUUUUCUUAUUCUAUUUUUUCUCGCACUCACCUUGGUUUUCAAUACUUAUGGGGCUUACCCCAAACUUAGAAUUUUAACACAGCUUAAUAAUAUCACCUUGAC